rnacentral:lncRNA from 1 species
AAUUUCCCAUUAUUACUCAACAUUGCUAAUUUAUUUAAAAUUUAUCAAAUAUGCAAAUCAUCUCAAUCAUUCGUAAAAUUAUCUAUUUUAACUAAAAUAAAAUUCGUAUUGAAAAGUUUAUAUAAAAUAAUAAAAACAAUUAUGAGUUAAAAGUUGCUCGAGAAGAGGCAACAGAUGAUGGAUUCUACAACAACUUCACCACAUUGGCACAAUAAAAAAAGAAACAACAAUUUACUAUAUGCAGGCCAUCUUCACCAGCCAAUGCUUCCAUAUAUUCAGUAAAAGAAAGCUACAUCAACCGAGAUAUAUAUUACAUGCAUUCAACAUAAAAUAAGAAAUUUCCGUUGUAACUUUUAGUUAGCAUAUCACAUUUAUUUUUGUUUUUAUUGAGCAUAUGUUAAGGUAGAAAAUAACAGAUCUUUAUGUUGAAAUGCCUACAAGAGAAGCAAUGGAUGCCAUUAAUUAAUUACAUCUCCAAAAGCAAAAGCAAUCUUGGUCUCCGCUUGCAUAGUUCUGUAUGCAUUUAGCAUAAAACUGGGUGUCUCCAUGCCUUUGACGGCAAGUUUGAUCGCAACCCGAAGGAGUACAUGUUGUUGAUGGAUCAAACAUAACCUCUUCGCAUAUUUUUGGCUGUGCUUCGAUCACACUUGAUGAUACUGCAAAAACAUAUAGAGGUUUCAAUAUAUAGAAAUACUCGCAAUAUAUAUGUUAAGUUAGUAGUUUAUGUUGGUGUUGAAGGAAUGCUAGCCUAAUUGAGAUGUCUAGGCGCACUGCCUAAUGUCUUUCAUCCAACAAUUUUAUUAAAAAGAAUUAGUAUAGCAUUUGCGUAAUAAGAUAAACAAGAGUUCAAAUCCGGACAAUGCUUUUCUUCUGUAAUAAUAUGUUUUUUUUUUUCAAAACAUAAGAAGAAAAUAGAGAAAGGAAGAAAUGUCCUAUUAAGUGUAUAUUUCUGGUACACUUUAGAGAUUCAAAUGGAUCAAUAACAAUUAGCUGUGAGAACAAGAACUAGAAUAAGGAAACGAGUGAAAAAAGCCAUCUCUGAUGAAGGCUGCGAUUAGCAAGAAUUUUAACUUUUAAGAGAGAAAAUAUUGAUGCAGAAGCCUUGUGAACGUCAAGUGUCUACCCUUGGCCAUUUUAGUAGUAACAAAUAUUGAGGAGCUUCUGUUUUAU